rnacentral:rRNA from 1 species
GGCGAACGCUGGCGGCGUGCCUAAUACAUGCAAGUAGAACGCUGAAGGAGGAGCUUGCUCUUCUGGAUGAGUUGCGAACGGGUGAGUAACGCGUAGGUAACCUGCCUGGUAGCGGGGGAUAACUAUUGGAAACGAUAGCUAAUACCGCAUAACAGUAGAUGUUGCAUGACAUUUACUUAAAAGGUGCAAUUGCAUCACUACCAGAUGGACCUGCGUUGUAUUAGCUAGUUGGUGGGGUAACGGCUCACCAAGGCGACGAUACAUAGCCGACCUGAGAGGGUGAUCGGCCACACUGGGACUGAGACACGGCCCAGACUCCUACGGGAGGCAGCAGUAGGGAAUCUUCGGCAAUGGACGGAAGUCUGACCGAGCAACGCCGCGUGAGUGAAGAAGGUUUUCGGAUCGUAAAGCUCUGUUGUAAGAGAAGAACGAGUGUGAGAGUGGAAAGUUCACACUGUGACGGUAUCUGACCAGAAAGGGACGGCUAACUACGUG